UUCUCAUUUUGUUGUUUCCUUUUUCUUUGAGAGCUGCGAUCUAAGAGUUCCGGUCCAAACCCUAACUCAGAAUCAGAAUCAGAAUUGAAUAUUGCGACUGAUUUUUGAAGUCAACGUCUUCUUACGAUGAUCAUCUCGACAGACAAGAAGAAGUUAUCGAUGGUACCAAAGAUGAUCCUGCCAAGCCAAGGGGUAAAAACAACAGCAGAAUUUGUUGUGCUCAUAAAUGAUACCAUGGGGUAACCAGGAUGUAUCCAGCAGCCGAGGAAGAUGUUUGAGCUAUUUUAGCUUAUAAUGCUGAUAACCUGGAAGGAACUGUGUGGCAAUGACUGAAUUUGGAUGGGAUGUUAAGCGCUCUGGAGGUCAAGUUCUUAAUGACAAGAUAUAAUUCCCCACCUUAAACGUAAGCUACUUCGUAACUCAAUCAAGCCAUGAUAAAUGUAGGUCAGUGUCAAUUUUUGUUGCCAAUAAAUAGAAUUCGUUAUUUCUAAGCCUAUUGUACUGAUUUUGCGCUGCAUUUAGUUUUUAUUGCAAGAGAAGCUAAAUGCAAUUGGGAAGUGUUCGAACAACUUUAAGAAACAUAAUAGUAGAAUGUAUUAUGUGGUUCAUUAAAGCUGUUAAACAGGCCACUGGAUAGUCUGGAUAUUCAUUAAAGCUCAUCUCAAACAUAAAGUCUUCUUUUGUAUGGAGAGGAUUGAUGGAAGCAGAACCGGCUCUGACAUUGCCUGUGAAGCUGCAGCAACAAUGACAGCCGCCACAGUUGUGUUCCGCCACUUCAAUCCAUUGUCACUCAAUAGAGGUUAUUACUCAUGCUAAACAGGUGUAAAGUUAGUGACCAAAAUGUGCUUACUGGUGCUACUGAGUGGUGGACCUGCUGCUUAUGAUAACUUUGUUAAUGAACGAACGAACCUGCAAUAGUGAUCCUCUUAUUAGUGUAUUAGCUUGACUGAAUGAUAGUCAUGGAGGGUAUAGCCAAGUCGGAGUGGCAGUUCCAGCACUUGAACCAGUCGUCACCAAACCAACUCCAACUCAAAUUCCAUCUCGGAAACCAAAAGCAUCUCCAGCUCCAGCCCCGAAACCAAAACCCACACCAGUUAAAAAGGCAAAACCAACUACAGGCACCAAAACCAAAAUUCACACUAAUUCAAAAGUCAAAACCAACUGUUUUGACACUUUAAUCAAUCUGCAGUAUGUUAUUAUAGUUUCAUUUGACAAAUGCUGGGAUUUAUAAAAGUAAUCUUUGGUCUCGGGCUGUCGAUUUUUGUUAGCUCAUAGGGU